UUGGUAAUGGAGUAAUCUAGGCUUUUCGAAUCUCCAAAACCAGCAUACUUAGCUCAGGUUCAAUCAAUGCCUGCUAAGAAUCUCACUGGAGCUGAGCCAGAGAGAGAGAGAGAGAGAGAGGAGAUGAAUCAUGGUUAGAUUUUGAGGAGGCUCGCUAACUAAUAAUUAGCUGUGAUGUAGUGAUUUUCUCAGUGGUUGUGCAGCUACAAUUUCAGAGGGCAAAACCGCUUAGUCGAAGAAGGAGGAAUUGCAGUUUUGGUUGGAGCGGUCGAAGAUGGGUCGGUGAAAGGGAAAGAGUUCUCAAUACCAACGCUUCUCCAACUAUACGCGAGCAGUGUACGGAACAGAAUGUUAGAGGCAUAAAGCCUCUACUCAGCUUCUCAUUAAUUGAAGAUAACAAGGUUUCAAUUGGUUCUUCCGGAAUGAUCCCGCCGUUGGUUUCUUUGCUCCUGAAUGGAUCAAAUCACAAACGAUAGCUAUUGCUCUGCAACACCGGCAAAAGAACAAGGGGCAGGGGGUCGAUGGAUGGUUGUGGGAGUCCGAAAAUGAUGAAGAGAAGGAUAAAAGUGAUGGUGGUGGAAAUAGGGGUCAAAAAACUGGCGAGAUGUACGUUGGAGGUGGGUGAGAACGUUGAGAAAGUACCGCCGCCACUGUGGCUUCUCUGUUGUCAUUGAGAAAACGAUGAACGAUGGCUAGACGAAGGGAGAAAGAAGAAUGUAAAGGAAGAGGGUGAGAAAGAGUGAUAGAUAGAAUGGGAGGAAUGAAUGAGAUUCUGUUAGCAAGGGCUAACGAGAAGGGAAGUAUUAGUCAAUUGUCAAAAACAGUAAGGAUAUACUUACUCAAUUAGCUAAACUAUAAGGAUAGUUUAAGAAAAAAUUAUUCCAAUUUCUUUAGAUAUCCCAACAUUUCUUUUCACUUGCUUCGUAUUCAGGCAUUGGAGGCUAUUGAGAAAUUACAACAAAAUGUUGAUACUCUUAUAGUGAUUUCAAACGACCGUUUGUUGGAUAUUGCUGAUGAACAGACACCCCUUCAGGAUGCCUUUCUCCUGGCAGAUGAUGUUUUACGACGAGUACAGGGGAUUUCCAUCACCGUGAAUGAUUUGUGAAAAAAAUGUCAUCUUAAAGACUGUUCCUUGUCUAUUCUGUAUAUGUUGGAAAGUUGUUUCCCUUAUUUUGCAGAUACCUGGACUGUUAAUGUGGAUUUUGCAGAUGUCAAGGCAGUUAUAAAAGAAUCUGGAACUGCAAUGCUUGGUGUAAGGGUUUCUUCCAGCAAGAACCGUGCAAAAGAAGCAGCUGAGCGAGGAAUUUGGCUCCUUUGAUUGGAUCAUCAAUCCAAUCCGCCACUGGAGUUGUAUAUAAUAUUUACUUGAGGGAAGGACAUAACCUUUUAAGAAGUAAAUCAAGUGUCUCAGGUUGUUACUAGUUUGGCUGAUCCUUCUGCCAACAUAAUAUUUGGCACUGUUGUUGAUGAAUGAUGAUCGUUACAGUGGCAAGAUUCAAGUGACAAUUAUUGCCACAGGGUUCUCACAAUCAUUUCAGAAGACACUGUUGACAGACCCAAAGGCAGCCAAGCUGGAUUGGUAGAGAAAAUGGAAUUAAGCCAGGAAAGUAAAGGACUUCCCCUCCCUCUGUAGGCUUCCACCUCAUCAUCCACAGAUCCAUUAUGGCCUCCAUGAAAGCUGUUCUCCUAGCCUUCACUAUCUUUCUGUUUCCUGUAUGGUAAUAUAGAUACGACUGAAGCAAGGGCAACAAAAGGCAUGAGAGUACAAGGUGUACACUGCAACAGCAUAAAGUUGCAACCCAAAGCUACCACAGUGAACGAUCUUAGCUGCUGGCCUGCUGACAAUCUUCGCCCCAUGUUCAAAUUUCUAAAGGGUGAAAAGUAGCAAACAGGGCGGGGUGGAAGUGUGGAACUUUUGAGUUCAGUACCCUAAAAGAUAAGGUAGUUCCCAUGAAAGGCAUGUCCAGUUUUGGUUUGUGGUUUAUCCGUCCAUGUAUCCCUUCCCGUGAAAGACAUUUCCAGUAUUGGCUUGGCUUUAAAUAGGGGUGAGGAAGAAAACCAAAAAGCUGAACUGGUCGAAACCGGACUGAAAUUCGGUUAACCAAACUGGUCGGUUUGGUUUCGGUUCAAUAUUUAAAAAAACCAAAGGUACCGG